rnacentral:lncRNA from 1 species
AAAUGGAAUUGCUCUUCAUAAUGUAGGACAGGAGAAGUGGACAGUAAUUGCACCCAGGCUAGUGCACCAGGGGACCAUGGAGCCUGAGGAGGAUAUCUCGACCACAGACCCCCAAGAUCUGAUGUCCAGCCAAGGGCUACUGCCGUCAACAUCCACCUCCUUACUCAACUGCACCUUCCUGGGGGGGUUAUUGCAUUGUGAUGACAUGGACAAGGGUGAUGGAAAUGGAGAUUUAGAUGGUCCAAAAUGCUUUUUCCCCACACUGGAGCAUUGUGGUAAAGUACAGAGAAGUCCACGAUCUUCAGCCUUCCCCUCCUCUCUCACAUGGGACUCAGACUCGGAGAAAGAAACCUUGGACGAGGAAGAACUUCAGCACUUUUCUAACCCUCAUGGUCUGGCUGCUCACAGCCCAGGAAGUCCCACCUCUGGACAACAAGAAGACAGGUGAGAUACAGAUGAUUAUACGAGAAAAACGGGUUUAUAGAAAAGUGCAUUCAUCAAAUUUUUUUUUUUUUUUUCUUUCUGGGUGGGGUUCAGUAAAGUUUUUUUUUUUACCUUUUGAGGGGGGUUUGAUGGAAAAAAAUAUUAAGCUGUAACCUAUUCAUCCAUUUUUAUCCUUAUUCUUGCAGAUUUGACAUUGAUCUGUGCCAAGAACCUGUGGAAACCAAGCACUAUUUCUUGAGAAGAUCCCACCUACCUCCCUGGAGGUGAAGAAUCAAGGAGAUGUUACAUACAAGGAGAUGAAACUACAGACUCCAGCCUACCUAAACGUACAGCAAAACAUAAAAAAAGCUUAAAGUACCUCAACGCAUGUUUUGAUUGUCAAUAACAUCCUGUCAUAUAAAAAAAUAAAAUAAAAAUAAAAAUUAGUUAUAUCAAUAAAGACUUUUGCUGUUUACUUGCAGUGGACCAAGACAAAGUGAGCCAUCUACCAGAUACUACACCAGAAGAGGGAUGCCAAAAAG